CGGGUUUGUAAACUCCUGUCAUUUGGGAACAAGUGGCCGAACAUAACUACUUCAGCCUUGAUAGUACCAGAAGAGGAAGGGACGGCUAACUCUGUGC
rnacentral:rRNA from 1 species